CCCCCCGCGAAGAGCCACCUGCAGUGCAUUUAAAAUCAUGAACUAUCUUCCUGCAGUCCGGUCUGGGCUGGAGCCAGUGCUGAGCAUAGGCUGUUUCUAGCUUGACCUGAAACAUAGUGAAGUGGGCUUGCUGCGAAAGAUGUUGGUCGACAUUGCUUACCAAGCAGAAAGCGUAAGGCGCAAGGCGCAGCAGCAUUUGCUAAAUGUGACAUGAACCUGGAGUGAGGGAGAGAGAGCGUUUAAUUUGUUUCACGGAAAUUUAUUCGAGUUCCACCACUUUAGCGUUACAACUGAGUGCAACAACCGGUGUAUGUGGGUUGUCAAUGCAUCAAAUAUGGCAGACUCUGUGUUUUUUGAGAAGCAGGUUACCUGUGGGCUUCACUGGUGAGUGAGAACUUCCAGCUGCAGACCUGGGUCCAGUUAUAUCUUGCUCUGAACUUCAAAAAAACUCCUUAAAUAGCUACUGCAGACUUAGUACUCUGCAACCUCCAAAAGUAGUAGCUUCCUUCAGUUCACCUUUAACCAACACUCCAAAAUGGCAGCUUGUGGAUUUCAGGAGCAGUUCCACGCAUCACUCGAGUAUUUUGACCACUGGAAGACAGGACUUCAACUGAAGAACAAAAAGAAGGUUACACCAGAACCUAUUCUGAUUUUAAGUGCUCCUGUAAUGUCGUUGAACUAUGAAGAUCAGAUACAGGAAGUUGAAGCAAACAAAGAGGAAGUUGAUAUUGAGCACUGAAUGUAACAAUUCAGCAAUAAGUGUUACCUUUCAUUGUGGUAGUGAUCCUUUUGGUGUUUGCUGUAACUCAUAUUUUAAAAAUGGUGUGAAUACAUGGCACUGUACACAAUGUUAUUACUAAGUGCAUUAGUAAACAUCAACAUAAUUGGAUUUUAGAUAAAAAUAUUACAUUCUCUGGUUAUCCUUUUCAGUGUGAAAGAGAGAACACAGACAUUUGCCUUUUAGUGAGGCUGUAAUUGUUGAUUUAAUCUUCAUUCACCAUAAGAACGUUCAUUUGAAUUUAAACAAUCUGUAUUGCAAGAAGCAUGUUUGAUAUAUUAUUAUACUUUUUCGAGGGGCUUUCUCAUUCAUUUGUAGGAUUUGGGUGUCACUGAGUAGACUAGCAUUUAUUGCUCCUCCCUAAAUGCCCUGAGAAAAUUAUAGUGAGCUGCCUUCUCAAACCACUGCCAUCCAUAGGCAUACUGACAGAUCUGUUAAUGAAGUUGCAAGAAUGACAUUGUCAUGGUGGAGUGUGGGAUUAUUUCUUUAAUGUUUAAAGAUGUCAUUUCAAAACAUUUACUGAUGUUAUAGAUAUUGGAUCUUAAGUCCUGUAAAUGCCCUUUCUCUAAAACUCUUAACUGACCAAGUGUUUUCCCCAUACCCCACACUCCCAUAUCCUUCAAGGCAGUGAGUGUUAUUGAAGGCAUGAGACCUUCAGGUGAUGUGCUUUGACUUUCUUGAGUUUGUAGCAGUAAUGAAUUCUGUAUUCAACAGAAAACAGCUGGAGAAACUCAGUAGGCCUGGCAACUUCUGAUGAAGCGUCAUGGGACCCAAAACACUGACUCUGCUUCCCGUUCACAGACACUGCCAGAUCUGCUGAGUUUCUGUUUCUGUUUUUGUUCCAGGUUUCCAGCAUCUUCCUUUUUUUAUGAACUCUGUUGUUGGGGGAAGUUGCAAAAGUUAUUGGGAUUUAAAAGGAACUGGUAUUGGAGUUUUCCUGUGCAUUCACUGGCACUUGAAGGUCACUUACUGGUCAGCUCAUCAUUAUUCAUUGAGGCUAUUGCUCUAGUUGGCAUUGCGCUGGAGCACGGUGUGGAGAAGAAAGACAGCUUGCAGAGAGGGAGGAGCAGGAGUGCUCCCAAUUGGAGGUGCUAACAGCGGGGUAUAGUCGGGGAAAGCUUUUUUUUUUUUUUUCUUACCUGCAUUCUUACCUUGGAUUCAACCAGGAGCAAUGUCUGAAACAAUUAAGAUUCACUGAGAAGAUGAUUAAAUUAACUGUACCAAAUCUUUCAACUUGACUGUAGCUGCACAGUGGGCAAGUACAGUUUUAAAUGGUAGCCACAAAGAUCUCUGUGGUCUUCAGUUUGUAUGUCUGCAGAUCCUUCCAGGCCAGAGUUGGUGACCUCACCAACCUGUCCAAGUUUGCUGUGCAUUGUUGCAUCAGGCAAGUGAUAUAAAGCCAAGGAAAGGGGAAUUCAUAAUCUAUAAUUAGAGAGAACAAGCACUUUGAUUUGCUAGAAUUGACAUUCCCAAUGGUGUGAGAAGCAUUGACUGCAUAUGACUCUGUAGUGAUCUAUGAUUCAAUGAGGAGAGAUAUUGAAACAGUAAGGGGUACCACUCCCCCAUCUUAUGUGUAACAUGGUAGAUGAACUUGAGCAGCGUAUUA